ensembl:lncRNA
UGGAACUUGAAUUAUAAUUCCAUUUUGAUAAAACUGUUUGUUUUCUGAAACGUCAACAGUUUCCAUGGCGUCAAAUUGAUCAUUUUCUUUCCCUCACUGGAGACUGAGAGGGGCUCACCAAAUUGCUGUGGUGACAGGGGGGAAGGACCAUGGAAAUCCACACAGCCCAAAUUGAGUUAUGAUUGCAAGUAGAGCACAAAUACUUCUUCUUCCUCCCCAGAUAUUAGUUAUGAUUGGGACUGCAGGGAUGGCUGUUCUGUAAUGGACAUCAGGGAUGGAGAGGCCACCAGCCUAAUUCUACUCUCUGGUAUAGCCCUGUUGUAGGCUGCAGCAGACCGGCUCCGUCCGUAGCCCAGAGAAACACCAUCAUCCACCGAAGCCAAGACGGACACUCCUCACAUUGAUUGUGACUGAGACUGAAAAUAAUUCUUACUUUAAGCACUUUUUCCUCAUCAGUGGGUGGGUGGACAGCAUCAUCACUUUGAGGAUUUGAUAGCGCCAUGUCUCUGUGAGAGAUCCUAGGCGCAAUCACUUUACCAGGAGGGUAUUAUGACAGAGAGAGAGUGCUGAUGUGGUGAUAGUCCAGGCUUUGACAGGCGAUGCUGUGUCUGAAGUCUAUUCCUCUGAUAGUUCAGUCUAGGGUGCAGUGUUUUGUCAGCUAUUCUUCCUGGUGAUAUGUGGAUGCCCUCCUCCGAUGCACCUUAUACUCUGUCGGAGCUUGAUAUGAGUGAAUUGGGUGUAGCCAAGGUCUGACAUGCCAAAAUGGUGAUUCAUAGGACAGGAUUACUUCUCCAGAGAGAAGUUGCCAUUUGCCAUCUCCAGGUCCCUCAAUCGCUUAAUAAAGCCCUCCUCUGGCUGUUCCCUGGGACACUGAAUCAAACCUGCCUGCUGGGGCUCACAACUUUCAGUGAAAAUCAUGUAUACAGCAAUUCAAUCUACACUGAACAAAAAUAUAAAUGCAAUGUAAAGUGUUGGUCCCAUGUUCAAUGAGUUGAAAUAAAAG